UUUUUUCACUGAGUCAUUCGGAUGCCUCAGUUCCUUUAGGGGGGUGGGGGUGGGGCAGGGCAGGGGGGUUGGUGGGAAGGAAGGGGGGCGGUAAGGAGAAUUAGUGUAAGGACAUCAAUCAACUGUGUGUGGAAAGCGGGCUGCUAUCAGACUCUGUGUAACAAGAAGGCUGGCAGACGUACCUGGACGUUGUUUUUUCCUGUCCUCUGCCUCAGAUGAAUGGAGAACGGCAAGGAGUCUCGUUUCCUUAAGAAGAGAUGAUGGGAGGAAAUGAAGAUGGAGGAGCCGGUUAGCCCCCCCGUCCCACUCGCCCACCCCGGUGAGAUCAUGGCGGGGUGGUCAUGAGGAAGGAGACCCUCGCCGAGGGGGACAAAAUGGAGGGUGGUGCCCCCUGAAACCACUGCCUGCCCCCCCCCCCCUCCCUCAUUCAGAGACUGAAAGACUACAAGGACCAGAAGGGAUAUUCCAUAUUCGAUAAAAAGGUUGGUUGCAGAGGCCGGCUCAAGGACGACCCAAAAACAAGCCACGCUUCCUGACCACAGAACACGCGUCACCGUGAACGUUAAACAGAAUCGGAAUGUCUGGUGCUGCUGGGCGGCUCAUCCUUUUAACCCUUUACGGCAGAGGUGGACAAUGAGGGCCCUGUCUGUUUCUGGUUUUCAUGCCAACUUCUGGUGUGAUUGGAAUGUUCUUAACUGAACAUUCUAUUGCUGAUGUAACAUGCAGAACUGGUAACUGAAAGCAAUGGAGUUCUAGAACACUGACAUAGAAUAAAAAAAAAAAAACAUUACAAAAGAACUAUUUUUCAAAGGGUUAAGGCGCUGUUGUGUUAUGUUCCAGUGCAUGGGUGGGCUGCACACUGUGGUAUUGGGUCCAGACUGUGCCAGCGCUUACCUUGGCUGGCAGCUCUGCAAGGUGGCACAUCGUUGGCGCAUUGCUCGGGGAGGGAGGGCUUCAGCAGGCCAGGAUAGAAUGCAUCUUUUAAAAAAUACAGGAGUAGGAAGUGGUUUUAAUCUUAAUAAGUGCUAUUUCUGAAGAUGUUGUUUCAAAAUAUGAGUAUCUCGUGAGUCUUUCAACAAUAACCUGUAUGAUAACAUUGGAUGGGGACUUCAUUGCAAUCAUUCAUUACAUUACAAUUAUUGUUUUUGUCCUUCUAUGUAGUGGUUUUUUAAUCACAUCUCUUAAUAGUUCAGAAAUAAAAGAAAAAAAGUUUAUUUCUUCAUUGAACCCUUUAUUUCCACCAUACUCUUGUAACACUGUAACUGUAAAUGACUCUUCUCCAACUGACGGAUAAGUCACACAAACCACGCCAGACUGCUUGCCACUGGAGAAUUGUUUGCUGUUUUGACAAUGAGCAGAGGACUCCAUUUAUCCCUCAGCCGCAAACACCAGCACUUGAGAGAGAGUACCCACAAGGCACUGCUUCUGCCAACAGACUCCACCACGCCAGGGUUGGGUGUUGCUGUGGCAACGUCCGGAUGUUUUCAUAUCAGAUGUGAAAGGUUAUUGUAUUUGUUUUUAUCAGGACACUCUGGGUGAUUGCCCUGCGAGAACAAAUGCUUUGUGAUGAUGAUGUUGUCUGUUCCCCUUUCUCCCAAACCUUGGGGAGAUGGGGGGGAGGAUGGAGGUGGGUCACAAGAUAAGCCUGAAAAAAUAACUUAGUGUAUAUAAUGUACUUUCCACCCACACUUAUGCAGCUACCUCACACAGUGGUCGGUCAGUCAAGAGACAGCACACCCCCCCCCCCCAGGAAAGGAAAUGGCUGUCAGAAAGGCUGAACUACCACUGUGUGGGCUGUCUCCUUUUCAUAUUGGCCUUUGAUGACGGUGAAGUUAACACUGAUGGAAAAAAAAAAAAAAAAACCUGUUAGUUUUCAAAGCCAUCUCCCUUUCAAUACCGUACUGUACUAUUGCUUUUACACUUUAUUUUCAAAUCGGUUUCAAAUUUCAUUUUUCGUCCUCGUGUGAGGAAAUGAGUAACUGCAGUCAGCAUGCGCACGGAGAACGAAAACAGCGGGGCAGGCCACGACUCGCCGCGUGAAUCGCUCGACGACGACCAGAGAUGAGAAAAAUGGAAUUGAAGAUAACUCUUAAAGUAACAGCUUAAAUGCCUCAGUUGUGGUCUGACCAACAUUCAGAGGGUAGGGCCUGAGCCUGAAAGAGUGGAGGUCAGUAGUCGUUUGAAAAGUCAGUUUAGCCACUGCUUCUACGCCUGCCUGCUGUGGAGACUUGUGGCUCAGUGUGCCCUGACGUCGUACGCUGCGAGUGAAAUGGCCCUUAUAGGAGGGUAGAAAUAGACCUGGUGGGCGUAGCAGAGGCCUCAUAACUGUCACACAACCAGGAAGCAGUCAGUCUGAUAUGUUGCCAUGGGGACCCGGCCUCCUUACAGUGAUUACAACCAGGAAGCAGCCAGACUGAGGGGACAUUGCCGUGGGGACUCUUCCCCCCCCCCCCCCCAAUUCCCCGUUCCCACAUCUCCCCAUCCCCCUUAGCUUGUCUGCUUCUCCCAGUUUGUUCAGCAGUUUAGCUAUGUUGUCUCUGGCUCACACACAAAUUAGACUGACCCGGCAGACACACAGCUCAGUCUUCUUAACAUUCACAAUUGUGCAAUUUUAGCUGAAACGUAUAACUGAUUUGACACAUCAUCUGAAAAGGUGUUAAGGAGCAUAGUCGAGUACGGUCCUGUGGCGACAGAAAUUAUAUGCUGCGAUACAACUUCUGUUACCAACCUCCUGCAGUUGCCAAGCAGGGGGGAUGGAUGGAAAAUGGGAGCUGAGUUUAUGGUAAGUGCACAGAAUCUGUGGUUAUGCUACAAAUGGAACCCAGGCUUUCUGAAAGACUGGGCAGAGAUCAGUUACACAAUAAGCAACUGACGUCACUAAAUGCACUUGACAUUUUUUUUUUUUUUAAAAAGAAAACAAAAAGUAAUUUGAUUUUGGCAAAAUAAAUAAAUAACAGUGUUUAAACUAGUGAGAGAGAAAAAUAACAGUGCCUGCAGAACUAAUAAUCGUAGGCACGAUUUUCCUUGUGAUUUUCAGAACAAGUGAAAGGAAGACACUGGUAUUCUUACUAAAACAGUGAAAUUUAAGAGAUUACAGUUCAGGAACAUGAAACAGAUUUUGCCUCUGAUAAAUGGAGAGCGUAUAGGUGGCAAAAUUAACGCAUUGAGAGUGUUUCGCGUGUUAAAAUGUACUGUAAAACUCAAAAAACGAGCUCUGUUAUGUUAGCUGUGUGUAUCGGAGAGUCAUACGCUAUGCAGUGGUACAACUCCCACCUGGGUAAAAAUUUGUAUUUGAAAUACUUUAACUCUUCUGGUGCCAGUAAAAUCUGAAAUCAGUCCAGAAGGUUUUUUGAGAAUUCUCAGUGAAAAGGCUUAUCUACAAAACAAACUACUAACCUAAACAUGACAGUAAUCAAAAUUUUGUUCUGAUUAUUGUUUAGUGUAAAAUGCUUCUAUGUAUAAAUUCUCAGCAAUAUGGAUGAAUAGUACAGUUGUCUGAAAGGUAUCAAACUAUUAAAAUAAUCAUUUUGAUGCAGUUCUGGUAAAGUCACGGUUCAUUUGCUGCCGUUUCAAGUUGAAACAGCAGUGAGGACCGCCUGCAGCCUGUCCAAGGCCCAUCGUCUAGGAAACCCUGUGCUCUGCCCGCGUUCGAGAGAGGCCUCUGACCUUUGACCUCAGAGCUAAACUCAAAACAAACAAAACCAAAUGAAGUACCCUAAGCCUUGUGAUAUGACUCAAGUACGCAACAAGAAUCCUGUGCCACAGUGUUAUCAGAUCAGCGCAUGCCAAGUUUCAGAGGGCUCCGUUUGAGGGCUACGUAGGCGUGCGGGUGAAACGCGGGUUAUUUACCAGUUAUCUCGCCAUCCCAGGCAAUUAAGUGCUUAUCUCUCAUGGCAGGCCGAAGCAACUCCUCUCCUGUGUGAAAAAUACUCAAAAAGGAAGCUGUUUACCCUCUGGGGCUGCUUUUACAGCCACUGCUGUACAGUACUUGUGUUCAUCAGCAGCAGUUCAGUACAGUGGCAUUGCAUUGCACUGCAUUGCAUUGCACCAGGGCUGCCCAACCCUGUUCCUGGAGAUCUGCCGUCCUGUAGGUUUCCACUCCAACCCUAAGGCCUGAUUUAUACUUUGUCGCACGACGCUUGUUUAAAUGGUCGUGUGACAAAGUAUAAAUCAGGCUUAACAAUGUGCACUUCAUUCAACAGCUAGCAAUCUUGUUGAGCUGCUAAUUAGUAGAAUCAGGUGUGCCACAUAAGGGUUGAAAUGAAAACCUACAGGGUGGCAGAUCUCCAGGAACAGGGUUGGGCAGCACUACAUUAUACCAUUUUGUUCGGGCAGGUAAUCAGGGAUAAGUCAUGUGACCCGAUCACAUGACCUCAGUGUCUACAGAUUUUUGUUGUUUCCUGUCAAUAAGACCUUGAGAACAAGGUGUGUGGAUUUUUCUGAUCUAUAGUUUAGAUGAAAAACAAGUGUUGAAACGCAUUUAAAACCAGCAGGCACUGCCGCCCGCCAGGACUGGAGUUAAACCUGCAGGCACUGCGGCCCGCCAGGACUGGAGUUAAACCUGCAGGCACUGCGGUCCUCCAGGACUAGAGUUAAACCUGCAGACGCUGCUGCCCUCCAGGACUGGAGUUAAACCUGUAGAUGCUGCUGCCCUCCAGGACUGGAGUUAAGCCUGCAGACACUGUGGCCCCAGGUGCUGGAGUCUGACAUUCGUGUCUUACAGUUGGAGUUGCAGGUGGUUUCUAUGUAGGUGAAGUAUUUUUAGAGGUAUAAUUUUUCCUCAGCCCGUGGGUCCUAAUUUUCUGCGUCUCGUCUAUGCAGCACUGAGAAGUUUUUAUAUUGGAGAUCCUUUGUGUACUUAUGAAGGUAAAAUAGAAAUAAAUACAUUUCAGAUGAUGCAGCCGUUUUCAUACACAUAUUUGUGAAGUAUGACUGCAAAUAAGAAAACAAAGUGGUGUCAGUGGCUACUUCCUACUUCAGCUUUUAUCUGCCAGUCGUUCUGUGGACUCAUGUGACUCAGGCUAGUUCAUCCUGUCUCUCUCCAGGACCAGCGCUGGUUGCCACCUCUGACCUAGUACCCAUUUCAGAAUGAACGUGUUGUACAUUUCAGGGUGUAUGCUACCAGAACAUUCCUCUACCCUUUGCCAUAUCUUUAGCUUAGAGGUAGAGAAGCAAGCUGUAUCAACAAAACAACCUCAUCAACCCCAACCUCAGUGGGAUGGCAGGGGUUGGCUUCAGGUCUGGUGAUUGGAUUGAUAAAAAUGCUCAAUAUUCUCAGUUGAACACGAACCACUAAUAUACGAGGAAGUUAACUCAUAACAGAAGCCUCAAAUGAAAGGUCUCAUACACAUAUUGCACAGUAUUAGUCACUAAUAUUCUCGCUGGCCUGUUUACCCUCUAGCCUUUGUCCCUUUUCUAGACACUGUUCUUAGAUAUUACUAGCAUGACUAAAAAAAAAAGAAAAUAAAACAUGGCUAAAAUGUUCUUUACCCUUAUCAAUAUUAAUCACACAGGAUUUGGCAAUGCCUCAACUGGAUUUUACGGUGGUCACAAGCGUGGCUGUAGCCAUGACGAGCAGGUUGUUUUUUCCACCCCAUUUUUUGUGCCCUGCAUGCUUUAAGAUUUUGUAAUAUCCUUGGUGGCCAAAACAGGAGUUAGAGACAGACUUGGGCAAUGAUGUGGGACCAAACCACAUUACAGGAAGAACAUCUGAAGGAAGUAUUUCAGUUUGAUCUAAUUAUUUUAGUUGUGAAACAUAGCUUUAUCUUACUAUUCACUGUCCACACACAUAAUGCAGUUUACUGGUUACAGUGGUAAGUGUAAUUCUGACUCUUGAUGUCUUUGAUGUGUUAUGUGCAAAAAUGUAUUGUUUUGCUCUCUUAACUGAAUGUGAUUUAGAAAGUGUCCGUUGAAUACAGCCAUACAGCAUUUCCUUGAAAUGUGCAUUUUCCCCUGACUCUAGGCAGGUGGAACAUCCGGGGUCGCGGCUGCCUUUUCGGCUGCUCCCCUCGGCAAAUCUGGCGACUUUGUGAAAUACAGGAAGUUAGAAGCUAGAAAAUGCAAAAGAAAGCAACGUGCUCACAACACGCGAACCGCGAGGCUCUGUCUGCCGUCGGCUUUCUGCCCAGCCGGGAAGACAAACGAAAAACGCCUCGGCCGCUUCACACAUCACUUAGCAUGUACAUACUAUCCUACAUCCGCGAAUAAACGCGAAAAAAAUACAUAUUAUGUCUUGAAAACAGCAAGUGGGCGAACUGACGGGACGUGAGUGAGGACGUGUUGAGAGUGGUAUGUCAUGGUCAAUGUCUCGCAAUGAAAGGGAGAAAGGUAAAAAGACCCAAUGUCUAUUGUAGUGCAGUCGAAGUGCAGACCUUGAGGAGCCACGGGUUACGUGAUGCAGAGGGCACAGGGGCGGGCAGAGGGCUGGAUUGGCGGCUCACUCACGCAGCAGGAGAGAACUGGGGUGCUGCUGAUUGGUUGCUUCAGGUCUGGAGUUCCAGUGAGGAGUCGGCUGACGCAGACGUAAAAACACAGUGACUCCACCCUGUGCCAUCAUGCCAUCAACCUGCCCCCCCCCCCACCCCACCCCACCCCGCCUUGCUAGCCAGGCUCAACCCUUCAUACAUUCGCUGUCAACAGCGUAUUCUAAAUAGUGUCUCUGAAGGAGACUUUCAGAUCAACUUUUCAGCUAUUUUCAGAUUGCACUUGUAACUGUCUUCUUGCACCCAUGACUAUGUAACUUUCAACUGCAAGGCUUAAAAAGUCUUGCUGGCUGACAAUUGAAUAAUUCUUUGUAAUGGAAUUCAGUAGUCUGCACGUGGGGUCCAUUGUUUAUUCACAUUGCCCAGUUGUUCGUCCACUGAUUGUGAAUCGAAUUGGACGGGAGAAGAACCCAGAGGACCGGCCUUCUCGUACGGUAACGGCUGAAGAAAGGCUGGUCCACGUCUGUCUGCUUAUGAAAAGCAGAAGGUGGUGGGGUCUGGAGGACAGUUGCCUGGUUCCUGUGCAGCAACCCUGGUGUGCAGCGUUUUGUUUUUCAUCUGAAAGACCAUGACACACAUUUUCCAUUGCCCUUGAAGAAAAAAAGAAAAAGAGAGGCAGCGUGCGAAUUGAUGUGGUUAUUGUCAUUGGGCUGUUUUCUACAACAGCUCAAAACUAGAGUUGCACCCCCCAGCCUCCAGCGCCCCCCCCCCCUCUUGAAAACAGCUGAUUUAUGUAGAAUGCUCAUAAAAAGGGAAGGCCUUGAAGCCUGUCACAGGGAUUAGUUGUUUGUGUUGGGUUUAUAUUACCGGCACAGGGUUUCUCUUCCUUGUCCUCGGCAACCAACACAUUCCUGUCAUUGUUGACUCAUGCAUAUUACUGGUGAAAUGAUUUUGUUGAUUUUUUUUUUGGAAAUUUAUUUCUAAGUUUAACUUCUUGCUCUGUUACCCCUUUGCAGUGUGCCCUGUGGCAUUCCCAAUUGUGAAAAGGCAUUAUGCAAAUAAAAUGUAAAAAUAUG